GACGAACGCUGGCGGCGUGCUUAACACAUGCAAGUCGAACGAUGAAGCGGUGCUUGCACCGUGGAUUAGUGGCGAACGGGUGAGUAAUACGUGAGUGACCUACCUUUGACUCUGGGAUAAGCCUGGGAAACUGGGUCUAAUACCGGAUACGACCAAUCUCUGCAUGGGGUGUUGGUGGAAAGCGUUAUGGAGUGGUUUUAGAUGGGCUCACGGCCUAUCAGCUUGUUGGUGAGGUAAUGGCUUACCAAGGCGACGACGGGUAGCCGGCCUGAGAGGGUGACCGGCCACACUGGGACUGAGACACGGCCCAGACUCCUACGGGAGGCAGCAGUGGGGGAUAUUGCACAAUGGGCGCAAGCCUGAUGCAGCGACGCCGCGUGAGGGAUGACGGCCUUCGGGUUGUAAACCUCUGUUAGCAUCGAAGAAGCGAAAGUGACGGUAGGUGCAGAGAAAGCGCCGGCUAACUACGUG
rnacentral:rRNA from 1 species